AGACCUCAAAUGCUCCUCAAAUCCCCAAUUCAACUUUCCAGAAUUUCUUCCAUUUUUCCCCCAAUUUUCACCCUAAAUUGCCAAAUUAAAUGAUAAAGUCAUAAUCAUGGGAUUUAACCAAAUUUGAGUGAAGAACACUUACCCCAAUCAAUCCUCUAAAAAUCCCCUCCCAAAUCACCUUCUCCCGAGCUCUAUAAUGAACUUUAAGAUUAUGGACCAAAACCCUCGAUUUUUAACUUAAUAUUUUUACCCAGACACUUCCUUCUACGCGAAUGCGAUCAAAGCCUCGCAUUCGUGAA
rnacentral:lncRNA from 1 species